rnacentral:rRNA from 1 species
CCUACGGGUGGCAGCAGUAGGGAAUCUUGCUCAAUGGGGGAAACCCUGACGCAGCAACGCCGCGUGGAGGAUGAAGGUUUUCGGAUUGUAAACUCCUUUUGUUAGAGAAGAUAAUGACGGUAUCUAACGAAUAAGCACCGGCUAACUCCGUGCCAGCAGCCGCGGUAAUACGGAGGGUGUAAGCGUUACUCGGAAUCACUGGGCGUAAAGGGCGCGUAGGCGGGAUAGCAAGUCAGAAGUGAAAUCCUAUGGCUUAACCAUAGAACUGCAUUUGAAACUGUUAUUCUAGAGGAUGGGGGAGGUAGGUGGAAUUCUUGUGGUAGGGGUAAAAUCCGUAGAGAUCAAGAGGAAUACUGAUUGCGAAGGCGAUCUGCUAGAACAUAACUGACGCUGAUGCGCGAAAGCGUGGGGAGCAAACAGGAUUAGAUACCCGUGUAGU